GAUCAUGGCUCAGGACGAACGCUGGCGGCGUGCCUAACACAUGCAAGUCGAACGGAGUUAAGCGCUGAAAUGAAGAUAGCUUGCUAUAAGAUUUUCUUGUUUAACUUAGUGGCGGACGGGUGAGUAACGCGUGAGGAACCUGCCUUACAGAGGGGGGACAACAGUUGGAAACGACUGCUAAUACCGCAUGAUGUGGAGGGGAGACAUCUCUCUUUCACCAAAGGAGCAAUCCGCUGUAAGAG
rnacentral:rRNA from 1 species